AAUGAACGUUGGCGGCGUGGAUUAGGCAUGCGAGUCGAACGGGCCACGAGUAGCAAUACUUGUGGCCAGUGGCGUAAGGGAGAGUAAUACGUAGGUAUUUACCCUGGGGUCUGGGAUAGCGGCGGGAAACUGCCGGUAAUACCAGAUGAUAUCUCCGGAUCAAAGGUGUGAUUCCGCCCUAGGAGAAGCCUGCGGUCUAUUAGCUAGUUGGUAGGGUAACGGCCUACCAAGGCAGAAAUGGAUAUGGGGCGUGAGAGCGUGCCCCCACUCACUGGGACUGGGACACUGCCCAGACACCUACGGGUGGCUGCAGGCGAGAAUCUUCGGCAAUGGGCGCAUGCCUGACCGGGCGACGCCGCGUGCGGGAUGAAGGCCUUCGGGUUGUAAACCGCUGUCGAAGGGGAGGAAAUUGUAGUGGGUUCACCCAUUAUAUUGACCGAUCCUUGGAGGAAGGGCCGGCUAAUCUCGUGCCAGCCGCCGCCGUAAUAC
rnacentral:rRNA from 1 species